rnacentral:rRNA from 1 species
CCUACGGGAGGCAGCAGUAAGGAAUAUUGGUCAAUGGACGAAAGUCUGAACCAGCCAUGCCGCGUGAAGGAUGAAGGCCCUCUGGGUUGUAAACUUCUUCUAUAGGGGACGAAAAAAGGGCAUUCUUGCUCACUUGACGGUACCCUAGGAAUAAGCACCGGCUAACUCCGUGCCAGCAGCCGCGGUAAUACGGAGGGUGCAAGCGUUAUCCGGAUUUACUGGGUUUAAAGGGUGCGUAGGUGGGUUGGUAAGUCAGCGGUGAAAUCUUCGAGCUUAACUCGGAAACUGCCAUUGAUACUAUCAAUCUUGAAUCAUCUAGAGGUAAGCGGAAUAUGUCAUGUAGCGGUGAAAUGCUUAGAUAUGACAUAGAACACCAAUUGCGAAGGCAGCUUACUAUGGAUGUAUUGACACUGAGGCACGAAAAGCGUGGGGAUCAAACAGGAUUAGAUACCCUGGUAGUCCACGCCCUAAACUAUGGAUACUCGACAUUUGCGAUAUACUGUAAGUGUCUGAGCGAAAGCAUUAAGUAUCCCACCUGGAAGUACGAUCGCAAGAUUGAAACUCAAAAGUAGUAAGUUAGGACGCGUAGGAGACGUUACGACCCGAGGACCACCACGGGAGGGGAGUAGGG